UACGUAGGGUGCAAGCGUUACUCGGAAUUACUGGGCGUAAAGCGUGCGUAGGCGGUUAUGCAAGUCAGAUGUGAAAUCCCCGGGCUCAACCUGGGAACUGCAUUUGUGACUGCAUGGCUAGAGUACGGUAGAGGGGGAUGGAAUUCCGCGUGUAGCAGUGAAAUGCGUAGAUAUGCGGAGGAACACCGAUGGCGAAGGCAAUCCCCUGGACCUGUACUGACGCUCAUGCACGAAAGCGUGGGGAGCAAACAGG
rnacentral:rRNA from 1 species